UACGUAGGGUGCAAGCGUUAAUCGGAAUUACUGGGCGUAAAGCGUGCGCAGGCGGCACAUUAAGUCAGAUGUGAAAUCCCCGGGCUUAACCUGGGAAUGGCAUUUGAGACUGAUGAGCUAGAGUGUAUCAGAGGGGGGUAGAACUCCACGUGUAGCAGUGAAAUGCGUAGAGAUGUGGAAGAACACCGAUGGCGAAGGCAGCCCCCUGGGAAGACACUGACGCUCAGGCACGAAAGCGUGGGGAGCAAACAGG
rnacentral:rRNA from 1 species